rnacentral:sRNA from 1 species
UUUAAAAUAUUUAUUUAUUUAUUUAUUUAAAGAUGGAGUCUAGCUCUGUCGCCCAGGCUGGAGUGCAGUGGCAUGAUCUCGGCUCACUACCACCUCUGCCUCCCAGGUUCAAGUGAUUCUCCUGCCUCGGCCUCCCGAGUAGCUGGGAUUACAGGCGCCCGCCACUGCACCUAGCCAAUUUUUGUAUUUUUAGUGAAGAAGAGGUUUCACCAUGUUGGCUAGGAUGGUCUAGAUCUCCUGAUCUCGUGAUCCACCCACCUCAGCCUUCCAAAGUGCUGGGAUUACAGGCAUGAGCCACCAUGCCUGGCCAAUAUUUAUUAUUUUUAUUUUUUAGAGACAGAGUCUCAGUGAGUUGCUCAGGCUGGAGUGCAGUGGUGCAGUCAUAGCUCACUGCAGCCUUGACCUCCUGGGCUCAAGCGAUCCCCCAACCUUAGCCUCCCAAAGUGCUGGGAUUACAGAUGUGCUCCACUGUGCCUAAUUUUUAAAAUUUUUGUAGAGAUUGGGUGUUGCUAAGUUUACCCUUUUAAAGCGAGCAGUUCAGUGGUUUUUAGGCCACCACCUCUAAUUCCAGAACAUUCUCAUCACCCCCAAAUGAAACGCUGUCCCCAUCAGCAGUCACUCUGCAUCCCCUUCCGAGCCCCCGGUGCCCACACCUCCCUUCCCUGUCUCUGUGGAUGGGCCCGUCCUGGACAUUUCACAGAAACAGGAUCACACACUGUGUGACCUUCUAUGUCUGGCGUCUCUCACUGAGCGUGAUAUCCUCAAGGUGCAUCCACGCUGUGGCCUGUGUCCGAGCCUCGCUCCUUUUCUUGGCUGAGUAAUAUCCCACUGUGUGGACAUAUUACUAAUCUAAUUCUAAACAGUUAAUUAGAAUAUUCCAGAGUUUUCAUAACCGUCUCCCACUGCUGGGCAUUCAGGUUAUGUCCAUUUUUACGGCUGCAGGAAGCAGUGCUGGGAGUGGAGACUGUGUGGUCGCCUGGGGUUUCCAGCUACCUGCCCCGGGUGGACCCCAGCACCUCACUGACAGAGCCGGAAUCGGGCGAGGGCCUCGUGUGAGGCUCAGCCACCCCAUAGACGGGCUAGGUGUCGGCACUGUGGCUGUUUGAAGUGGCUUUUUGUUGACACAUGUGAUCUGACACUUCCCAGCCCCAGGAAUCCAUGGUCAGGAGCCCCCUUGGGAGGGGAGCACUUUUCCCCGAGUUAUCAGCCACGCGUGUGCUUGUGCCCCACGGGUCCCACAGAGGCUCUGGGAGCCUGUAUGUGUUUGCUCAUUGCUUCUCCGUGACAAGUUCCAGCCUCGUAGGUGCCCGGCGUGCAGUUGAAGGCGGGUGGGGAUGGGGCGAGGCCUCGUGGAGGGAGGGUGGACAGGGCGGGUCCUCGACAGGUGCUCCUCACGGCGCCUCCCCCACAGCUGCGAGGAGGGAGGGUGGGCAGGCGGGUCCUCGGCACACUCCCCUCCCGGCGCCUCCCCCACAGCUGCGAGGAGGGAGGGUGGGCAGGCGGGUCCUCGGCACACUCCCCUCCCCGCGCCUUCCCCACAGCUGCGCCAACGGAGGAGGCUACUACCACUACUCAUACUCGGUGGUGAGGGGCUGCGACCGCAUCGUGCCUGUGGACAUCUACAUCCCAGGUAGGGCCGGGACCGCACCGCCCACGAGGGAGCUGGGGACAGGGCCAGCGCCACACGGAGCCCGGCGGCCCCUGUGAGGGAGUCCCACACCCCAAGCAGACGGCGGGCUCCCCCAUCCUGUGGAUGGGCCGACUCGGGGCUCUCCCUCUUAGUGGAGCGUGUCCCCUAUGAGAAGUCAGCGAUGUAUUCAGGCAUCAGAGGGAUCAGAGGGAGGAGGGGAGGCGGAGUGGAAUUCCUGACACUCGCCUGGUUUACAGCAGUUUCAUAUGGUCCUGCCUGACAGAAACCAAAGACCUGCAGUUAGAAAUACCAAGAGAGAAGGUUCCUGGAGGCCAAGACACUAUCCCGCGCCCUCAGCCUUACAGAAGGGCACGAGGACUCCCUGGGACCCGGGGUGGCCGGAUUUGGCACAUGAAAACGUAGGAGGCUUAGUUUGACAGUGAGGUUAGGGUGAAUUUGACCAUCAGGAAAACAAUUAGUAGUAAUUGUUUAGUACGAGUAUAUCCCAACAAUAUUUGGGCUAUACUGACACUAAAAAGAGCAUUGGCUGCAUACCUGAAAUUCACGUCGCACGGGGAACAUUCUUUAUAUCUGGUGAUCCCGUGGGACUCUUGCGCCUCACGUGGUCCCACGAGGGCCACCCCCCCCGGAGCGCUCGCCUUGACAAUGGUCCACGGUAGGCAGGCUUGGAGGUGGCGCUCAUGUGGGACAGGGGACAGAGGUCCUGUUCUUGGCCACCUUGUGCUGCGGCAGUAGCGCAUGCGCAGAGAGCCCAGCCCUGAGUCCCGAGUCUGGGGGGUUGGGCAAGCAGGAGGCACAUCCUGGCGCCUCUCAAAAGUGGAGGAACAGGCUCUGACUUUGGAUUCCACUUCCCUGGAAAGGGCGUUGAUUUGUUCAGCGUUCUGCAUGGUUCAGGUCACCUGGGGGCAGUGGACAGAGCAGCCUGGGCCUCCCCGUGACCCUCAUCAGCGCAGAGAGGUCCAUCCCGGGGUCAAGAGCUUAGCCCAUGCCCCUGGUGUCUUCCCCUGCAGUGCAGACCAAAGGGGCAGGUUGUGAGCGUGGACUGCGCUCCUCCCUCCCUGGGGACUGCGCUCCUCCCUCCCUCCUCGCAGACUGUGCUUCUCCCUCCCUUGGAGCAGCCUGGACUUGCCAGAGCUCUGCCAGGUGGGGCCUGGCCGCCCUUUCCCAGGCCCUGCAGUGGCCUUGUCCUUCCCCACCUGUUUCCACUCCUGCUGUCCCCGUUGGGCCCUGGGCUUCGUCCUCUUGCUCAAGCCCUUUGCUAUGAGCCUGCCUGGCAGCUGGGGCUAGGGGAUCCCCAGCAAAGACCUCUGGCUUGGAGCUCAGAAAGGGGGUCAUCGGGUCCUCGUGGGAUGCCUGGGCUCUGGGCCACCUCCCCUCCCUCCGCCCAGCCUCCCUGCCUCCAUCUCCGUCCAGUGCAGCCCCGGGUCCUGCUCCCCACUGCUAAGUGUGUCUGGUGAGCGCUGGCCCCCAUGGAGUCCUGAGGGCUAGGGCCGGGGCCGGGUUAGUGAGGUCAGCGUCUUGUCCAAGAGGUUCCUGUGACAGCCCGGGAUGAGCCAUGGGUGGAGGGCAGUGGGGCCUUGCCCAGGGGAGGACCCCACUCUUCCUGCAGGGACCUCCCCUGCGCCGGCUCCCAAACCCUGACCUCUGCGCCCACCCAGGGCUGUCAGCCUCCACCUUCAGAGGCCGGCACGGGAGACCCCUCAAAAGCCGAGCCGGCUGCGCUGUGCACGCGGUCAUGCAGGCUCUGGCUGCGAGAAGGGAGACUGAGGCAAGGUCCCUGCAGGCUGCCCACCCACGGCCGAGGCCCUGCUGUACGGCAUCCUGCAGCUGCAGAGGAAGAUCAAGAGGGAGCGGAGGCUGCAGAUCUGGUACCGCAGGUAGCGCCGCCGCCGCCACCUGAGCCUGUCGCCGUCCUGUCCCCAGCCUGCUUGUGUCCCGUGAGGUUGUCAAUAAACCUGCCAUCGGGCUGCUGCC